rnacentral:rRNA from 1 species
AUACGGAGGGUGCAGGCGUUGUUCGGAAUCACUGGGCGUAAAGGGCGCGCAGGCGGUUUGGUAAGUCAGAUGUGAAAGCCCACGGCUCAACCGUGGAAGUGCAUUUGAAACUGCCAGACUUGAGUACCAGAGGGGAAAGUGGAAUUCCCGGUGUAGAGGUGAAAUUCGUAGAUAUCGGGAGGAAUACCGGUGGCGAAGGCGACUUUCUGGCUGGAUACUGACGCUGAGGCGCGAAAGCGUGGGGAGCAAACAGGAUUAGAAACCCUAGUAGUCC